GCUGAAGGCAAUAUCUGCUGCUGAUCCUGCUGCAGUGAGAACAGAGACUAAACACUCAACCCAAAAAGGUGUCCUUCUUGUUUUCUUCUGUACGCUGACUUCCCCUGAAGGGAAGCUUGACCUGCAUUAUCCCAUGAGACUGAAAGAUACCCACAAGACUACCUCCGUUGGUACCAGAUCCAGCUACUGGCAAUCCAGCGCCGCACAUCUGCAUGGAGAAAAUGUCUGGAAUCUUUGCUUGUGCCACCAACGAAUCAAAGAAAGUCUCCAGAGAGCUUGAUGGCUGCAGAAAGGAGACGCCAAGGGCUGGAAACUCCCCACCUGUUUCACAUACACACCACGGUUAACAGACUGGAGCAGAGCAGCAGGGUGGGUGAACGAUGCUUUCUGGAUUGUCCUGGGCCAGACAGGUCCACUGGUGGUUACGUUCUUCCCUGAGCAACUACCACUCAGGACAACCCAGGACCCUGUGCUGGACCCUUCAAUGACUGGUUUUCAUAGCUUCAUCAUUUUGUCUGAUUAACUGGAACAGAAAGACCUGCCUUACCUUGGCCAAAGCAGCAUAAGCAAGUCCAAGAAUUCCAUUCCAUUUAAUCCCAGGCAAAAAGAAAUUCUCAGACUCAAAAAUAGUGGCAAUAUUGACCAAGAAUGAGCUGUUGAAGCCUUUCGGGAUGGUGACAACAUCCUCUCCAACAAAGCCAGUCCAGCUGCCCUGUGUGUACUUCACAGUGACAUCAAAGCCCUUUGGGUGGUACGUGCUGGAUCUGCAGAAGAAGAGGAAGGUCAGUGAUGCUCCCUGUAUAAGCCUAUGCUGUUUGAGCCACAGCUGGGACACAGCUGCUCAUCAUGGUUUACAGUCCUAUACAGUCUAUAGAAAGUGGUGCUCAGCCAAAAGUGGCGUCCAUGUUGACCAAGGCACCAUUUUCCAGACAUAAGCAAGGGCAAUUUGAGAACUGUUGCCAUGCCACAUGGAAGGGAUGCCAUGAGGUUGACAUGAAACCUUGAAGUUGAAGUUUUGGCCCAUGCUUAAGCCAAACCACCCACAGGCCUUAUCUGGAGUCAGGCACUUCACUGAGCCACAUCAUGUGAAGGACACAACUGGGCACACACUGGACCGUCUGGUUUUGCAGAAUUACUGAGCUUGAUCUCUGCACAGAGAGGGGCUAUGUCAUAGACUAGGAAGUUCAGUGUGGGAGCGAGAUUCAUACAAGUCCAGUGAAGCGACAAGACCGCCCAGGUCUCUCUGUGUCCCCAUUGCCUGACAGGUGAUUUCGCUUUCAGAAUGCAGUUGACAAUGCCGAUGACAUGCUGCGGGGCGGGGUGCUGUGAUGUGAACCAGAACUUCAAAUGUGUGUACCCCUAAGGGUAGACAAGGCCAAAGAAGCGCAGUCAGGCAAUGGAGAGGUAGAUGGGAGUCCUUCUCCAGAUUGCUCCACGAGGAGAGACAGCAUGCAUGUGAGGACAUAAAAUGUAAGGCAAGACGAAUGAAUCAGAGCAAAUGGAGACUAAGGCAGAGUGAGGACCUCUGAUAGGAGGCCACUUGUUGGACACUUCAGAGGAGACAGUGGACUAUCAGGCUGUCUGGGAGAGGGCGCCCUGUGUCAGGCUCUGGAGGCUCUAACCAUGUAAGGUCAUUCAUACACUGUAUCAGUCUACCCAAGGAAGACAGUGAGCAUUCAAGCCAGGUUCCCUGACGAAAAUGACCCAGUUCCUAAGGGAGUGUCAAGUCACAAGUAUUUCCCAAGACUCUGUUUGCCCACAGUCUUAGUCCACUGAGCUUUAGUAUUAACUCUGCAACAGAAACUCAAGUUAAUAUAUCUCUGUUUUCUUUUAUAAUCAAGAAAAGAAAUGGGAAGUGAACACUGUGUGCACAAGUGUGACAGUAAAUCUUCACUGUUGAUCAGAACAGGUUUAGAAUCAGCUAGGAGACACACCUCCAUCUGAGAUGGCUUUUCUAAAGGUGUUUAACUGAGGCUGAGAAACCCACUCCUAAUGUGGGCAUCCCUGUUACAUGGGCUGGGGCCCCAGAGAAUAAAAAGGGUUAGGAGAGAAAUCAUGAGCACCAGCAUUCCUCUCUCUCUGCUUCCUGCCCGCAAUUGCAAGGAGACCAGCUGCCUCAUGUUCCAGCUGCCGUGAUGUGUGAUGCUGAGUAUGAACUGUCACCCUGACAGACCUAGAAUCAUAUGGAGAUGGAGCUUGCCUGUAGGUGGAUUCCCUUGAUUUGGUUCACUGAAAUGGGAAGACCGGUGCCCUGGGGGUGGAAGCAGUCCUUGAGCAGGAGGGAUCUGGGAUCAUACAAAUUGAGGUGACGGAAACAGUAGGAAGCAAACACACUCUUUUCUUGACGAUGGAUAGGAAGGGAUCAGCCACUUCAAGCUCCUGCUGCCUAGACUUCCCCUCAUGACUGUGAGCUAAAGCACACCUGUCCUCUCUCCCUUAAGUUGCUUUGUCUGCAGAUUUCAUCACAGCAAAGGCAAAGACACUGAAGCAGACUGUAGCCUCACAUUGUAUUAUAUUGAGACAAUAUAACCCUUUCUUUGUUUUUUUAAUAUCGUAAUUGACUUUUUAUUUCAAAAAUAAAAGAAGCAAUCUCUAGCAUAUUUUAUAAAAGUACUGUCAUAUCAAACAUUUUAUAUAAUUUAAUUCCAAUAAAGAGUUGCUCCCCCUUUCCUUUUAAGUACUAUUUCUAACUGAUGGGACAUGUGUCCUUAAAAUAGAAAGUUUCAAUCAUUUAUCCAAAUGUCAAAAUUAAGAUUUUUUUUCGAGAAGUUCAUUGCUUUAUGGGUGGGCAAGAUGCUGCUAGCAAAUUUUUGGUAAAUAAACUUCUUUAUUAAAAA